GAUGAACGCUGGCGGCGUGCCUAAUACAUGCAAGUCGAGCGAACAGAUGAGGAGCUUGCUCCUCUGACGUUAGCGGCGGACGGGUGAGUAACACGUGGAUAACCUACCUAUAAGACUGGGAUAACUUCGGGAAACCGGAGCUAAUACCGGAUAAUAUAUUGAACCGCAUGGUUCAAUAGUGAAAGACGGUUUUGCUGUCACUUAUAGAUGGAUCCGCGCCGCAUUAGCUAGUUAGUAAGGUAACGGCUUACCAAGGCAACGAUGCGUAGCCGACCUGAGAGGGUGAUCGGCCACACUGGAACUGAGACACGGUCCAGACUCCUACGGGAGGCAGCAGUAGGGAAUCUUCCGCAAUGGGCGAAAGCCUGACGGAGCAACGCCGCGUGAGUGAUGAAGGUCUUCGAAUCGUAAAACUCUGUUAUUAGGGAAGAACAAAUGUGUAAGUAACUAUGCACGUCUUGACGGUACCUAAUCAGAAAGCCACGGCUAACUACGUG
rnacentral:rRNA from 1 species